rnacentral:rRNA from 1 species
GACGAACGCUGGCGGCGUGCCUAAUACAUGCAAGUCGAGCGAAUCAAUAGGAGCUUGCUCCUGUUGGUUAGCGGCGGACGGGUGAGUAACACGUGGGCAACCUGCCUGUAAGACUGGGAUAACACCGGGAAACCGGUGCUAAUACCGGAUAAUCCUUUUCCUCUCAUGAGGAAAAGCUGAAAGUCGGUUUCGGCUGACACUUACAGAUGGGCCCGCGGCGCAUUAGCUAGUUGGUGAGGUAACGGCUCACCAAGGCGACGAUGCGUAGCCGACCGGAGAGGGUGAUCGGCCACACUGGGACUGAGACACGGCCCAGACUCCUACGGGAGGCAGCAGUAGGGAAUCUUCCACAAUGGACGAAAGUCUGAUGGAGCAACGCCGCGUGAGUGAUGAAGGUUUUCGGAUCGUAAAGCUCUGUUGUUAGGGAAGAACAAGUGCAAGAGUAACUGCUUGCACCUUGACGGUACCUAACCAGAAAGCCACGGCUAACUACGUGCCAGCCGCCGCAGUAACAC